GAGAACAAAAGAAACAAGAGCAAAAGAACUAAAGGCCAUACGGCCAUGGAGAAAAAAAAUUGACCCUUUGAAAUCUUAUCCCAAAAAUUAUUUUCUUGUGGUAUUUCUACUAAUUCAAGGGUCCUUUACAACUUGGUGUAAUUAUUUUGGAAGAAAGAGCACUUGUUUCUUCAAGUUGACAACUUGGUCAAGUGAAGAAGAUUGUAUAAAAAGAUUUUGGCGAACUUGAAACUUGAUUUUGGAGACGUGUAUGAAGCGGAAAAGGUCAGCAGGUAGACAGGCUUGACUCCUAGGAGUUCUAUCAGCAGUAUUGGCUGCACUCCAGUUGUCCCGGAGCCUCAGUUCCUUGGUACUAUUUUGUGUAUAUAUUCGGCCACGGCAAUACUCGGCCCUUCCUAUGUAUAUGUGUACUAUGUUUAGAGGCUCGUAGACAGAUAUGUACAGUUAGAUGUGUUGUAUUUUGGAAUGUUCACGUCGUCGUAUAACGUGAUAGCAAAGUUUACUAGUCUA